rnacentral:rRNA from 1 species
GACGGAGGAUGCAAGCGUUAUCCGGAAUUAUUGGGCGUAAAGCGUCCGCAGGUGGCUGUUCAAGUCUGCUGUCAAAGCGCAGAGCUUAACUCUGUACAGGCGGUGGAAACUGAAGAGCUAGAGUAUGGUAGGGGUAGAGGGAAUUCCCGGUGUAGCGGUGAAAUGCGUAGAUAUCGGGAAGAACACCAGUGGCGAAAGCGCUCUACUGGGCCGAUAAACUGACACUGGAGGGAACGAAAGCUAGGGGAGCGAAAGGG